AUGCCGUCCGGGUCUACGCAGUUCCGGUACACACAGACGCCGUCCAAGGUGCUGCACCUACGGAACAUGCCGUGGGAGAGCUCUGAGGAGGAGCUCGUCGAGCUCUGCAAACCAUUCGGCAGGGUUGUGAACACCAUGUGCAACGUCGGAGCCAACCGCAACCAGGCCUUCGUGGAGUUCGCAGAUCAAAACCAGGCAAUUUCAAUGGUUUCAUAUUAUGCUUCAUCUUCAGAACCUGCCCAAGUUCGUGGUAAAACUGUAUAUAUCCAGUAUUCAAAUCGGCAAGAAAUAACAAACAAUAAAGGCACUGGUGAUUCUUCUGGCAAUGUCCUGCUUGUCACCUUUGAAGGUGUCCAGCCUAAUGAUGUUAGCAUAGAUGUUAUCCAUUUGGUAUUUUCUGCUUUUGGGUUUGUUCACAAGAUAGCAACGUUUGAGAAAGCCGCUGGUUUCCAGGCACUUAUCCAAUAUACUGAUGCUCCAACUGCUCUAGAGGCAAAAAAUUCGUUAGAUGGAAGAAGCAUACCGAGGUAUCUACUGGCUGAACACGUCAGCAUUUGUCACCUCCGCAUAACAUUUUCUGCGCACAAAGAUUUGAAUAUUAAAUUUCAAUCACAUCGCAGCAGGGAUUACACAAAUCCUUAUCUUCCUGUUAAUCCAACUGCAAUCGAGGGAAUCGCACAGCCCAUAUUAGGCUCUGAUGGGAAGAUUAAGGAGCCAGAGAGCAAUGUACUUUUAGCAUCAAUCGAGAACAUGCAGUAUGCUGUGGGAGUGGAUGUUCUACACACUGUGUUCUCUUCUUUUGGUGCUGUCCGAAAGAUUGCAAUGUUCGAGAAGAAUGGUGGAAUGCAGGCUCUAAUUCAGUAUCCAGAUAUAACAACAGCAGGAGUUGCUAAACAAGCUCUGGAGGGACAUUGCAUAUAUGAUGGUGGUUACUGUAAGCUUCAUCUGUCAUACUCUCGUCAUACUGAUCUGAAUGUGAAGGCACAUGACGAGAGAAGCAGAGAUUACACCGUCUCGGAUCCUAGUGCUCAGGUACAAGCUGCAGGUCAAGCCCCUGGUCUAAGCACAACUGGAGCAGCAUGGCAAAGCACCACGCCUGCUGCUUUUUAUGGAAGCUCAGCAGGAGCGACCUCUAUCGGACAAGUGCCAGCCUGGAAUCCUAACAUGCAGCGAGGGGCGUUUGCACCUGCAUCAACCUCGUACCCUACCCAAUUAUUGAUGGCAAACCCAGGCCCGCACUUUCCAGCAGUCGGAUCAAGCUCUGGUGCUCCUCCGAUGUUGUACCAAGCUUCACAGCAGAUGGCACAAUAUGGCACAGCCCCUACUGCUCUGCCUCAUGCAGCCUUGUCUGGCGAACCGAUGUACUUCCCAAAAUGA
rnacentral:rRNA from 1 species